rnacentral:rRNA from 1 species
AGCGAACGCUGGCGGCAGGCUUAACACAUGCAAGUCGAGCGCCCCGCAAGGGGAGCGGCAGACGGGUGAGUAACGCGUGGGAAUCUACCCAUCUCUACGGAAUAACGCAUGGAAACGUGUGCUAAUACCGUAUACGUCCUGCGGGAGAAAGAUUUAUCGGGGAUGGAUGAGCCCGCGUUGGAUGAGCUGGUUGGUGGGGUAAAGGCCUACCAAGGCGACGAUCCAUAGCUGGUCUGAGAGGAUGAUCAGCCACACUGGGACUGAGACACGGCCCAGACUCCUACGGGAGGCAGCAGUGGGGAAUAUUGGACAAAGGGCGCAAGCCUGAUCCAGCCAUGCCGCGUGAGUGAUGAAGGCCCUAGGGUUGUAAAGCUCUUUCACCGGUGAAGAUAAUGACGGUAACCGGAGAAGAAGCCCCGGCUAACUUCGUGCCAGCCGCGCCGUAACAC